CGGUACUAAGCGUGUAGCAGCCUUUGUUUGCCCAGGUUCGGACGCGGGUUCGAUUCCCGCCACCUCCACCA
rnacentral:tmRNA from 1 species